rnacentral:rRNA from 1 species
UACGGGGGGAGCAAGCGGUUGUUCGGAUUUACUGGGCGUAAAGGGCGCGUAGGCGGUCAGCACAAGUCAGUUGGUGAAAUCUCCGGGCUUAACGUCGGAAAGGUCAACUGAUACUGUGCGACUAGAGUGCAGAAGGGGCAACUGGAAUUCUCGGUGUAGCGGUGAAAUGCGUAGAUAUCGAGAGGAACACCUGCGGCGAAGGCGGGUUGCUGGGCUGACACUGACGCUGAUGCGGCGAAAGCCCAGGGGAGCGAACGGG